rnacentral:lncRNA from 1 species
GAUCCAAUUCGAAUCCAAUUCGAAGCUGGUUCAAAAUAAUUUUGAAAGGUUGUCAAUUCCAACCUCUUUAAGAUUUUUGGACCAAAUCUAACUUAAAAUUUUAGAUCCAAUUAAGUCUAAUUAAUUUAGAUCUAAUCUAAAAUUAAUUAAUAUUUAAAUUCAAUCUCUCAUAUGCUCCAUAGAUCAUAGAUCAGAAACUGUUCAUCUCC